GGCCAUAUGACUAGUGCUGCCCAAUGGACUGUGAACAGAAAUGACAGCAUCACUCGCAUGGAGACUCCUCCAUCUCUGUCUUCCCUGUUGUGACAGUCUCAGAGCCUACGUUCUUUCAAUGGCUGGGCUACAAGAUGGUGACAGGCUGCCCAACCUGACACAGCAAGAAGGCGGCCAUCUGCAAACCAGAAAGAGAGCCCUCACCAGGAACCGGAUCUGCUGGCACCUUGAUCUUGGACUUCCUAUCCUUUAGAGCUGUGAGAAAUGUCGCCCCCAGGUCAAUGGGAUAUUUGUUACAGCACCAGGUACUGCCUGAGAACUCUACCUUUAGGGAGCCUGCGUGCUGGGUCACUGGGGAGACAAUGAAGGUGCUUGACACCCAGUUUGAAUAUUGUGUCACUGCAAAGCUGACUGCUGUUGAAGGAUAGCCAGUGAGAGGUCAUGGCAAGCCAUCAGAAGAAGCAGAAGUCAUGAGCAUGCUGAAGCUAUGAGGCCAAGACAAAAUGUCACAUUGCCACAAGAAGAGGGACAAACAGGCAACAGGCAGAGCCCAUGGGAAUCAGUAAUCUCCUGCUGACACUGAGGCCUUGGGACUAACUCAGAUCCAGUACUACUCUCUUGGGACCUGUUCUGACUCCAGCUCCUGUCCUUGGGGUCCACUGAGAUCCCUGUAGCCUUGUAAUAAGCCCACAUUAUCAUAUUUCCCCUGCCGGCUCCACCCUAGAGCAUUUCCAACAAUUUCCAGUGCUUUUCCCCUUCUCAUACCACUGGGCCUUUGCACGUGCUCGUGCCUCCCCAACUUGCCCUGCCUUCUCCUUCACCCAGACAACUCCUACUAAAUCUCUCAGACUCCUCAGCUGUGUCCCUUCCUAGGGGAGGACUCUCUUCCCUCCAGUGAGCCCGGUGGUCCUCCCUGGGAUCCCCUGCUCCUUGUCUUCCCUGCCGUCCUUACUGCCAUCCUUGUUCUCUACUCAGAAGGAGGCAGAGGCUGGCCUGCCCCCAAUCCCCUGUAGACUGACCAGAUGAAUUGACCUGGGCUGGGCAGGGCAGGCGUGUUUGACCAGUUGUCUGGGCACCCCAUGGCUCAGUCAAGUUGACACAUAAAGUUCACCGCCCCAGGGCCCCUUCGUUGUAUUUGUGUAUGAAUAAAACACAGCAUCCACUCCAGGUAUCUGAGGGUCCUGGAGGCAGGUUUUGUGAUCCCUUUUUACAGAUGAGGAUGCGGAGGUCCAGUUGUCACUCACCCAGAUCACACUCUCAUCUGCUGAUGGGAGGAGUAUUUGAUGGGAUGUGUGAGCCCGGCCGUCUCCCUUGGGACACAUCAGCUCAUUAAAUUUGCCAGCCCCUGCCUGAAAAAGUAUUUAAUUUGCCUUUUACAAUGCACCCAUUGCAAGUUAAUUAACUGGCAAUUGAAAGUUAUAGGUGGCAUUAGAAUUUAUUAAUAACAUUGGGAAUAAAUCUCCCUGGAAUUCAAUUAACUGAAA
rnacentral:lncRNA from 1 species